CGGCUUUCCUCACUCCCCCGGUCAGCCAGGAUUUCACUUUCCAGCCGGUCGAGCAUCUGCACCGUGCCGGCGGGAAUCC
rnacentral:rRNA from 1 species